UAAGGUUGGAAAAGGAAGGCACCUCGAUUUUGCCGCUGGCGCGCUUCACUGGUUUCUGAGAGCCAACGGCUUGAUACUGAUCACUCAGGCUUUUGUUCUCAUCACCGGAGAGUGCUUCAGGGACUUGGGAACAGAGACCCUGGUAACAUUAGCGUAAUUUAAUUGACUAUGGCUGUAAAUGAACAUACCGAACGAGAAUAUGUGCCUCAGAAAGAGAAGCAAUCUUCAGAGGAAGAGAAGAGGAAGAAGAAAAUUGUACCUGGGAGUUUGAUGAAAGCUGUAGUGAGGCCUGGAGGGGGG